rnacentral:rRNA from 1 species
AACGUAGGAGACUAGCGUUAUCCGGAUUUAUUGGGCGUAAAGCGCGUGUAGGCGGUGCUUCAAGUUGGAUGUGAAAUCUCCUGGCCUAACUGGGAGGGGCCAUUCAAAACUGGGGCACUUGAGGGCAGAAGAGGGAAGUGGAAUUCCCGGUGUAGCGGUGGAAUGCGUAGAUAUCGGGAGGAACACCUGUGGCGAAAGCGGCUUCCUGGGCUGCCCCUGACGCUGAUACGCGAAAGCUAGGGGAGCGAACGGGAUUAGAAACCCUAGUAGUCC